rnacentral:rRNA from 1 species
UGUCCAGACUCCUACGGGAGGCAGCAGUGGGGAAUAUUGCACAAUGGGCGCAAGCCUGAUGCAGCGACGCCGCGUGAGCGAAGAAGUAUUUCGGUAUGUAAAGCUCUAUCAGCAGGGAAGAAAAUGACGGUACCUGACCAAGAAGCCCCGGCUAACUACGUGCCAGCAGCCGCGGUAAUACGUAGGGGGCAAGCGUUAUCCGGAAUUACUGGGUGUAAAGGGAGCGUAGACGGUGAUGCAAGUCUGGAGUGAAAGGCGGGGGCCCAACCCCCGGACUGCUCUGGAAACUGUGUAGCUUGAGUGCAGGAGAGGUAAGCGGAAUUCCUAGUGUAGCGGUGAAAUGCGUAGAUAUUAGGAGGAACACCAGUGGCGAAGGCGGCUUACUGGACUGUAACUGAGGUUGAGGCUCGAAAGCGUGGGGAGCAAACAGGAUUAGAUACCCCAGUA